rnacentral:rRNA from 1 species
AACGUAGGACACAAGCGUUAUCCGGAGUUACUGGGCGUAAAGGGCGUUUAGGCGGGUGAUUAAGUCCGCUGUGAAAGCCCCGGGCUCAACCUGGGAAUGGCGGUGGAAACUGGCGAGCUAGAGUGUGUCAGAGGGGGGUGGAAUUCCACGUGUAGCAGUGAAAUGCGUAGAGAUGUGGAGGAACACCAAUGGCGAAGGCAGCCCCCUGGGAUAACACUGACGCUCAGGCACGAAAGCGUGGGGAGCAAACAGG